rnacentral:rRNA from 1 species
GGAAUCUGGAGACAGGUGCUGCAUGGCUGUCGUCAGCUCGUGUCGUGAGAUGUUGGGUUAAGUCCCGUAACGAGCGCAACCCUUGUCCUUAGUUACCAGCACGUUAUGGUGGGCACUCUAAGGAGACUGCCGGUGACAAACCGGAGGAAGGUGGGGAUGACGCCAAGUCAUCAUGGCCCUUACGGCCUGGGCUACACACGUGCUACAAUGGUCGGUACAAAGGGUUGCCAAGCCGCGAGGUGGAGCUAAUCCCAUAAAACCGAUCGUAGUCCGGAUCGCAGUCUGCAACUCGACUGCGUGAAGUCGGAAUCGCUAGUAAUCGUGAAUCAGAAUGUCACGGUGAAUACGUUCCCGGGCCUU